rnacentral:rRNA from 1 species
CCAACAGGGAUUGCCCUAGUAACGGCGAGUGAAGCGGCAACAGCUCAAAUUUGAAAUCUGGCGGCCCCCGCGGCGGCCCGAGUUGUAAUUUGUAGAGGAUGCUUUUGGCGAGGUGCCUUCCGAGUUCCCUGGAACGGGACGCCAUAGAGGGUGAGAGCCCCGUACGGCUGGACGCCGAGCCUCUGUAAAGCUCCUUCGACGAGUCGAGUAGUUUGGGAAUGCUGCUCAAAAUGGGAGGUAAAUGCCUUCUAAAGCUAAAUACCGGCCAGAGACCGAUAGCGCACAAGUAGAGUGAUCGAAAGAUGAAAAGCACUUUGAAAAGAGGGUUAAAUAGUACGUGAAAUUGUUGAAAGGGAAGCGCUCGUGACCAGACUCGGGCCCUGUGGAUCAUCCAGCGUUCUCGCUGGUGCACUCCGCUCGGCCCGGGCCAGCAUCGAUUUCCCCAGGGGGAUUAAAGCCUCGGGAACGUAGCUCCUCCGGGAGUGUUAUAGCCCCUGGCAGAAAGCCCCUGGGGGGAUCGAGGACCGCGCUCCGGCAAGGAUGCUGGCCUAAUGGUCAUCAGCGACCCGUCUUGAAACACGGACCAAGGAGUCAAGCAGUAGGGCGAGUGUUUGGGUGUCAACCGACGCGAAAUGAAAGUGAACGCAGGUGAGAGCUUCGGCGCAUCAUCGACCGAUCCUGAUGUAUUCGGAUGGAUUUGAGUAAGAGCCUUGCCGUUGGACCGAAGUGGAACUAUUGCCUGGAUAAGGGUGAAGCCAGAGGGAAACUCUGGGUGGACGCUUCCGCAAGCGGUUUCUGACGGUGCAAAAUCGGUUCCGUCAAAUUCUGGGGCAUUGGGGGGCGAAAGACUAAUUCGGACCCUUCUUAGUAGCUUGGGUACCCCCGGAGGUU